GACGAACGCUGGCGGCGUGCUUAACACAUGCAAGUCGAACGAAGAGCGACGGAAGCUUGCUUCUAUCAAUCUUAGUGGCGAACGGGUGAGUAACGCGUAAUCAACCUGCCCUUCAGAGGGGGACAACAGUUGGAAACGACUGCUAAUACCGCAUACGAUCUAACCUCGGCAUCGAGGAUAGAUGAAGGGUGGCCUCUACAUGUAAGCUAUCACUGAAGGAGGGGAUUGCGUCUGAUUAGCUAGUUGGAGGGGUAACGGCCCACCAAGGCGAUGAUCAGUAGCCGGUCUGAGAGGAUGAACGGCCACAUUGGGACUGAGACACGGCCCAGACUCCUACGGGAGGCAGCAGUGGGGAAUCUUCCGCAAUGGACGAAAGUCUGACGGAGCAACGCCGCGUGAGUGAUGACGGCCUUCGGGUUGUAAAGCUCUGUUAAUCGGGACGAAAGGCCUUCUUGCGAAUAGUGAGAAGGAUUGACGGUACCGGAAGAGAAAGCCACGGCUAACUACGUG
rnacentral:rRNA from 1 species